AGGAGUCUGGCCUGCCCGGUGAUAAAGAUUUUAACGGCCGCGGUACUCUGACCGUGCAAAGGUAGCAUAAUCAUUUGCCUUAUAAUUGAAGGCUAGUAUGAAAGGCUGGACGAAAGCUUGAUUGUCUCUUAUUGAGUGAGAUGAAAUUAACUUAUAGGUGCAAAGGCCUAUAUUUUACUAAAAGACAAGAAGACCCUAUUGAGCUUAAAAGAUUUAAUGAAAUAAAAUGAUAUUAGUAUUUAAGAUUUUUAGUUUCUUUUGCUUUUUAGUUGGGGCGACUUAGGAACAAUAAAAACUUCCUAGUAUUAAAAAGACUUUUGGUUCUGAUCCAAAAAAUUUUGAUUAACAAAAUUAGUUACCAUAGGGAUAACAGCAUAAUCUUUUUUGAGAGCCCUAAUCGAAAAAAAGGAUUGUGACCUCGAUGUUGGACUAGAAUAUCCUAAAGGUGCAGAAGCUUUUAAGGGUUGGUCUGUUCG
rnacentral:rRNA from 1 species